rnacentral:ncRNA from 2 species
GGGUGCGCCUUUAGGGGUGCAGGCAUGUUGCGCUGGUCGGGCCGCCAGCG